UGAGGAAUUUUGCGCAAUGGGAGCAAUCCUGACGCAGCAACGCCGCGUGGGUGAUGAAGGCCUUCGGGUCGUAAAGCCCUGUCAGGUGGGAAGAAUGUCCCGGGACUGAACAGGUUCCGGGAGUGACGGUACCACCAGAGGCAGCACCCGCUAACUCCGUGCCAGCAGCAGCGGUCAUACGGAGGGUGCAAUCGUUAUUCGGAAUUACUGGGCGUAAAGCGCGUGUAGGCGGUCCUGCACGUCUGAUGUGAAAGCCCCGGGCUUAACCCGGGAAGUGCAUUGGAAACUGUGGGACUUGAGUACUGGAGAGGAUGGGGGAAUUCCCGGUGUAGAGGUGAAAUUCGUAGAGAUCGGGAGGAAUACCAGUGGCGAAGGCGCCCAUCUGGACGGUAACUGACGCUGAGACGCGAAAGCGUGGGGAGCAAACA
rnacentral:rRNA from 1 species